rnacentral:rRNA from 1 species
CGGUCCCUACGGGGGGCAGCAGUGGGGAAUAUUGCACAAUGGGGGGAACCCUGAUGCAGCGACGCCGCGUGGGUGGAGGAGUAUUUCGGUAUGUAAAGCCCUAUCAGCAGGGAAGAACAAUGACGGUACCUGACUAAGAAGCACCGGCUAAAUACGUGCCAGCAGCCGCGGUAAUACGUAUGGUGCAAGCGUUAUCCGGAUUUACUGGGUGUAAAGGGAGCGUAGGCGGCGCGUUAAGUCUGAUGUGAAAACCCGAGGCUCAACCACGGGAGUGCAUUGGAAACUGGCGGGCUGGAGUGCCGGAG